GCUGCCUGAAGGGAGCCGUGCAGCCGUGCCGUGGGCUCCCAGCAGCUGCUGUCGCUGCAGAUGUAGACGAGUGCUCCUUGGAGUACAGCCCCUGCAGCCAGCUGUGCCGGAACACGCCGGGAUCUUUCAGCUGCUCCUGCCUCCAGGGCUACACGCUGCGCCACGGCACCAUCUGCGAGGUGGCAGACAACUCCACACAGCUCCUGGUGGCCGUCGGGGAGGACCUGGCUCUUCUGGACGUGCGGACCCAGGCAUACCGACCCCUGCUCUCCACCUGAGACCGAGCCCCGUGCCCUGGUGUACGACCUGCUCCGGGAAACCUACUACUGGCUGACGGAAGAGGGUGAACUCUGCGCCCACCACCCGGGGAAAGGAGCACGGCUUCUCUACGCAGAUGCUGGGGAGGUGAACAGCAUCUCCGUGGACUGGUUCACGGGGCAGCUGUACUGGGCCA
rnacentral:lncRNA from 1 species